rnacentral:rRNA from 1 species
UCGAGAAUCUUCGGCAAUGGGCGCAAGCCUGACCGAGCGACGCCGCGUGGAGGAUGAAGGCCUUCGGGUUGUAAACUCCUGUCGAGGGGGAGGAAGGCGCAAGCUUGACCGAUCCCUGGAGGAAGCACGGGCUAAGUUCGUGCCAGCAGCCGCGGUAAGACGAACCGUGCGAACGUUAUUCGGAAUCACUGGGCUUAAAGCGCGUGUAGGCGGAUGGGGACGUCGGUCGCUGAAAGCCCCCGGCUCAACCGGGGAACGGGCGCCGAAACGCCCCGUCUGGAGGGACGUAGGGGGACCUGGAACUUCCGGUGGAGCGGUGAAAUGCGUUGAGAUCGGAAGGAACGCCCGUGGCGAAAGCGAGGUCCUGGACGUCUUCUGACGCUGAGACGCGAAAGCUAGGGGAGCGAACGGGAUUAGAUACCCGGGUAGUCC